CGCGCACUGCCCGCCUUCCCAGGCCUGGGGCGGGCCCGCGCUCUCAACGCGGUCGAUCCCCGGGCGAUUGCUUCUGUCUUGUGUGUAGAUUAAGUUGCGCGAGAGGAACCUCGGAGGCGGCCGGAGCUCAGGCUAGAGGUUGGCUGGUUGCUGAACGCUGCCCCAGUGCCGGUCGGGCCAUGGGCGAGCCCGACCCCUUGGUCUCGGGGCAGCUCGCGGCCCGCCGGAGCUGGUGCUUGCGGCGGCUGGGGAUGGACUGCGAGUGGCUGCAGCUGGAGGCUGGGACUGAGGUGACCAUAGGACGGGGACUUAGUGUCACAUACCAGCUGAUAUCAAAGGUUUGCCCUCUGAUGAUUUCCCGAAGCCACUGUGUUCUGAAGCAGAAUCCUGAGGGACAGUGGACCAUUAUGGACAAUAAGAGUCUGAAUGGUGUUUGGCUGAACAGAGAACGUCUGGCACCAUUACAGGGUUAUUGCAUCCGUAAGGGAGACCAUAUCCAGCUCGGUGUGCCGCUGGAAAGCAGGGAGACGGCGGAGUAUGAAUACGAAGUCAUUGAAGAAGACUGGGAGAGUCUGGCUCCCUGCCUUGCCCCGAAGAAUGACCAGAGAAUGGAAAAACAUAAAGGCUCGAGAACUAAGAGGAAAUUCAGUUCGCCUGGGUUAGAGAAUCUUCCAGCCGAGGGCUCCUCAGAUCUCAGAUGCCCACUGGCUAAUGUCGCCAGUAAACCCAUUGAGCCAGAGAAGUUGCAUGGCAAAGGUGACGCAUCGAGUCAGUCCUUGGGAUGCUUGUGUCCUGGGCUGACUUCUCUGAAGGCGAGUGAGAGGGCCGCCGGGCCUCAUGCUUGCUCUGCUCUUCCAAAGGUCCUGGAACUCAGUUGUCCUAAGAAGCAGAAGGCCUGCAGACCAUCAGCAUCUCAGAACAGCUUAGAACUGUUUAAGGUGACCAUGUCCAGGAUGCUGAAGCUGAAAACACAGAUGCAGGAGAAGCAGAUAGCUGUCCUAAACGUCAAGAGACAGACUCGGAAGGGGAGCUCAAAGAAGAUCGUGAGGAUGGAGAAGGAGCUGCGAAACUUACAGUCUCAGCUGUAUGCAGAGCAGGCUCAGCAGCAAGCCAGAGUGGAGCAGCUGGAGAAGACUUUCCAGGAGGAGGCACAUUACCUCCAGGGUUUGGAGAAAGAGCAAGGAGAGUGCGACCUGAAGCAACAGCUGGUGCAGGCCCUGCAGGAGCAUCAGGCUCUAAUGGAAGAACUAAAUUGCAGCAAGAAGGACUUUGAGAAAAUCAUUCAAGCCAAGAACAAAGAAUUGGAGCAGACCAAGGAAGAAAAGGACAAGGUGCAAGCGCAGAAGGAGGAGGUUCUCAGCCACAUGAACGACUUGCUGGAGAACGAGCUCCAGUGCAUUAUCUGCUCGGAGUACUUUAUUGAGGCUGUCACCCUGAACUGUGCCCACAGUUUCUGCUCCUUCUGUAUCAAUGAAUGGAUGAAACGGAAAGUAGAGUGUCCCAUUUGUCGAAAGGACAUUGAGUCCAGAACCAACUCCCUGGUUCUGGACAACUGCAUUAGUAAGAUGGUGGAUAACCUAAGCUCAGACGUGAAGGAAAGAAGAAGUGUCCUUAUUAGGGAACGGAGAGCAUCUGCUACAAGCCUCAGUGGAUCUGACAGUGAGACCGAGGGGAAGCAGCCCUGCUCUGAUGAUUUCAAAGAUGCCUUCAAAGCAGAUUCCCUUGUGGAGGGAACAUCGUCCCGAUAUUCCAUGUAUAACAGUGUUUCCCAGAGGCUUAUGGCCAAGAUGGGCUUCAGGGAAGGCGAGGGAUUGGGUAAAUACAGCCAGGGUCGGAAGGACAUCGUGGAGACCUCCAAUCAGAAAGGUCGACGUGGUUUGGGUCUGACGCUGCAGGGCUUCGAUCAGGAGCUGAAUGUGGACUGGCGAGAUGAGCCGGAGCCCAAUGCCUGUGAGCAAGUGUCGUGGUUUCCAGAAUGUACCACUGAAAUUCCUGACUCUCGGGAAAUGAGUGACUGGAUGGUCGUAGGAAAGAGAAAGAUGGUUAUUGAAGAUGAAACAGAGUUCUGUGGGGAAGAGCUGCUUCACAGCAUGCUCAAGUGUAAGAGUGUGUUUGACAUCCUGGAUGGGGAGGAGAUGCGGCGAGCGCGCACCAGAGCCAAUCCCUAUGAGAUGAUCCGAGGCGUCUUCUUCCUAAACAGGGCAGCAAUGAAGAUGGCUAACAUGGAUUUUGUGUUUGAUCGUAUGUUCACAAAUCCCCUGGACUCUUCUGGGGCCCGGGAGGCUUCUCCGAGUACGUGCUGUGGAGGAAGAAGUGGCACGCAAAGGGCUUUGGGAUGACGCUCAAGGGCCCCAACGACUUCAAGCUGGAGGACUUCUACUCGGCCUCCAGCGAGCUCUUCGAGCCCUACUAUGGUGAGGGUGGGGUCGAUGGAGAUGGAGAUAUCACCCGCCCAGAGAACAUCAAUGCAUUUCGGAAUUUUGUCCUGGACAACACAGAUCGCAAGGGCGUCCACUUUGUGAUGGCAGAUGGGGGCUUCUCUGUGGAGGGGCAGGAGAACCUGCAGGAGAUCCUCAGCAAGCAGCUGCUGCUGUGCCAGUUCCUCAUGGCCCUGUCUGUUGUCCGCACAGGAGGCCACUUUGUCUGCAAAACCUUUGACCUUUUUACACCGUUCAGUGUGGGCCUCAUUUACCUCCUGUACUGCUGCUUUGAACGCGUGUGUCUCUUCAAGCCUAUCACCAGCAGGCCUGCCAAUUCAGAGCGGUAUGUGGUGUGCAAAGGGCUGAAGGUGGGCAUAGAUGAUGUUCGGGAAUACCUCUUCUCCGUGAAUAUUAAACUCAACCAGCUUCGGAACACUGAGUCUGAUGUCAACCUGGUAGUUCCCUUGAUGGUGAUCAAAGGAGACCAUGAAUUUAAUGACUACAUGAUACGCUCUAAUGAGAGCUACUGCAGCCUACAGAUCAAAGCUCUGGCCAAGAUCCACGCCUUUGUGCAGGACACGACCCUGAGUGAGCCUAGGCAGGCAGAGAUCCGCAAAGAAUGCCUCCAGCUGUGGAAGAUCCCAGACCAGGCUCGAGUUGCUCCUUCCUCUUCAGACCCAAAAUUCAAGUUUUUUGAACUAAUCAAGGUAAAUCUGAUUCAUAUGGCAACACAUAAGCGGCCUUUUUUCUAGGGUGGACAGUGUCACCCUGGCUUCUGUAAGUAAGGCUUGCGAAGGCGUCAGCCUUGGACCUAAAGGGUGGUCUAGUCUCCCCAGUGAGCUAUGGUAUGUGUAGGUUUUCCCAAGAGCUUCCCAGGCUGGCAACAGCAUUCUGCUACCAAAGGGCGUGCUGGCUGCUGGGGUCCAGCCCCAACCAUUGACAGGGUGGCCCAAGAGGAGAGAAGGAGUCUCAAGGGAGGAGUGAGUCAGGUGUUGUGGUCAGGGGAAUCUUGUAGCUCUGACUGACUAGCAAUCAGGUUGUUUCUUUGUUUAUACAGGUUUCACAGAGCCAAGGCAGACUAAUGGUUACCCAAGAAGUACAGAUUGUAUCGUUUUGUCUAUGGACAUGUGUUUGACCUUUUUUUUUUCACUACAUGGCUGGGGUAACAAGUUCAGUCACAAUUAGAAAGUACAAAUAGAAUAGAUUUUAUUCUUUUUUUUUGUUUUGUUUUUUUGAGACAGGGUUUCUCUGUGUAGCCCUGGCUGUCCUGGAACUCACUCUGUAGACCAGGCUGGCCUCGAACUCAGAAAUCUGCCUGCCUCUGCCUCCCGAGUGCUGGGAUUAAAGGCGUGCGCCACCACACCCAGCUCUAGAUUUUAUUCUUAUUAUCACUACUGUUGCUCCAAUUUAAAGAAUCUAAAGACUGUCUCCUCCAAAACAAACAUGUUAAUUAUAUGGCAGCUUGAUUUUAGGCUUUCGGCAUUUGCAGUUUUAAAGUGCUCCAGACAAACAGAAAACUGCUCUUUUUAUGAAUAGCAAAUACUAAUGGCUAACUCCUCUUAUUUAUAUCCUUUCAUCAUCACACUAUAAUUAGGAAAAAGUUAUUUUAGUCAAUCUAUCUUAUUUACUAAGAUCUGUAUAAUCCCAUAUCUUUAAACUAUGUUUUCAGAGAGCUCUAAGUGUAUUGUAAAACGAGGCUUUGAAUUUGUUACCUGUUCUUAAAAUGUAGGGUCAUAAGGGAUUUGUAGGGGAAGAUAGGGAUAGUGGGAUGAUCUGAGGCAGGAGAACUGUAAAGGAGCCACAUUGGGCUAGCCUGAACCAUCUUCUCCAUCCUGUUUUUGGUGAGCUAAUCUUGAGUUUUUCUGCUAUUAGCCUCCAGCAUUUUCUAGGGCAUCGCUUGAGGCUGGCUUAGUUGUGGGCAUUGUAUUGGUUUUGUGAGGGUCAAAGACUAAAGAAUGAGGUUCAAGACUUUUCUGAAUGGGGUAGAGAGAUCAUUCCCCUGCUCUCAGGCCGACUGCUGGACAAUCCUCACGUUUGGUGUCACUGAGAGUGUGGCUUCCUAUUCUAGUGACAUUCCCUGGUAAAUCCAUUGUGCUUUGGAUUCUGUGUUCUUCCUUUCUUAGUUUCUCCUAGUAGGUCCUAAAGGAAUACUUGAAAUGGAUGGCAAUAGAUACUAUUCAGCGAUGAGUUAGGUAGAGAAGAGGAUGCAGGGGAGCCUGCUUCUGAGAGCAGAUGACUCCUGUGCUUCACCUCUGCCAGCCUGGCCCAGCCGCGCUUUCUCUGAUCCAUGCCGCAGGACACUGACAUCAAUAUCUUCAGCUACAAGCCCACACUGCUCACUGCCAAAACUCUGGAGAAGAUCCGUCCUGUGUUGGAGUAUCGUUGCAUGGUGUCUGGCAGCGAGCAGAAAUUCCUCCUGGGCUUGGGGAAGUCCCAGAUCUACACUUGGGAUGGCCGCCAGUCAGACCGUUGGGUGAAGCUGGACCUAAAGACAGAGCUGCCCCGGGACACACUGCUCUGUGUGGAGAUUGUGCAUGAACUGAAAGGGGAGGGGAAGGCCCAGCGGAAGAUCAGUGCAAUCCACAUCCUUGAUGUCCUGGUGCUGAAUGGCAGUGACGUCCGUGAGCAGCACUUCAACCAGCGAAUUCAGCUUGCUGAGAAAUUUGUGAAAGCAGUCUCUAAGCCCAGCCGGCCAGACAUGAAUCCUAUCAGGGUGAAGGAGGUGUAUCGGCUAGAAGAGAUGGAGAAGAUUUUUGUCAGGCUAGAGAUGAAGCUCAUCAAGGGCUCUGGUGGCACCCCAAAGCUCAGCUACACAGGACGCGACGACCGGCACUUUGUGCCCACAGGUGUCUACAUUGUCAGGACCGUAAAUGAGCCAUGGACCAUGGGAUUUAGCAAGAGCAAUAACAGGAAGUUCUUCUACAAUAAGAAAACCCAGAAGUCCGUCUAUGCUCUCCCUACAGAAUCCAUUGCCCCCUUUCAUACCUGCUACUACAGCCGGCUCUUCUGGGAGUGGGGAGAUGGCUUCCACAUGCGUGACUCCCAGAAGCCCCAGGAUCCAGACAAGCUGUCCAAGGAGGACGUCCUUUCCUUCAUCCAGAGUCACAAUCCUCUAGGCCCUUAGGGUUUCCACCUGAUGAAUGUCCUGUCAUUCUUAAGGCAGGGCCCAGUGUCUGGUUUCUUCUGCCUCUUGGAAAGGAACUGGGACUGUUCUCCCUGGUCGUAAGGGAGAUGGGCUCCUCCCCAUUCCCAAGGAGCUCUUUCGGGGCCUUAGGACACAGCUGUGAAACUCUGCUGUCUGAGAACUGGAGUCAACCUGAAAAGCAGCUGCUCAAGGGCAGGUCAGCGCUUAGGACUUGUCAGAGUCAUUCCCUCUGGAAUUUGUCGACUCAGUGUUCUGAGUUCCAUUUACUGCCCUCGAGAGCAAUCAGGCCAUUGUUUUGCCCCAUUUCUACUAGGCCACCCAAAUAUGAAGGCCCUCCAUCACAUGCUGGCCAGGAGCAGCUGUCAUACCAAUCAAAGUUGUUUCUUGUGGUCUUUUCUUCACCCCAAUCCUGGAGUUUGUCCUGGCAGGUCGGGAAGGAGUGUGGACCCAGUACCUUUCAAACAUCAGCGCUUUGGGUACUGGGUAUAAUUGCUCCUUGAGUUUCCACCUCUGGUAAGCACUGGGCAGCUCCAGGGGAAGAGCAGCCUAAAAACCUGCCCUUUGACUUCCUGUCUCAGCAGUAACAGAAAGUUACUCUAGCAGUCCAGGCCACCUGAAGCUCUUGGCAGAGUUCUGAGCUAGCAGUGGCUCUAGCUGCUCCUUCCUCUCCACUAGGAGGUACAUAGCGAUCUGCUUUGAUUUGUCUAUAGUCAGUCACUCCAUUUCCUGUCUCUGUAAGAGGGAGGAAUGGCAACAGCUUUGGGUUGGGGAGGGCAUCUGUGGUUGUUUCUAAUGGGAAAUCUCUUUCAAGAGAUGUUCAUGCAGGCUCCCUAGGGCCCCAUGCCAGUGCCAGACUGGUUUCCAUGGAGAUAGGGCACUGAGGCACCUGUGAGGUUGGAAUUGAUUCCACCAUGGGAGGUCCCUUCCACCAGCCCCCAACCCCAAUCCUAGCAGCAAGUGCUGGGAUGCCAUAUUUGCACCUAAUUCUGGGUCUAUCAGUGUGUCUUACAGAAUCUUGGAUCAUUAAACAUAUUUUUACUGCUCAUGUGGCUCUGUGCUGGGCUGCUGUUGUCCACAGUGCUGUGUAACUGAGGAAGGGGAGUGUUUGUGGAAGCCAAGCUUCUCCAGCUCCUGAGACUGCCAUCUGCUAGACAGGGAGCCCAAAGGCUUAUCAAAGUACAGUUCCGGUAUAAAGCAGAACUUGGGGGUGAAUGAGCUCACCACACAACUCACUGCAUGGCAUGGCAGCACUGUGGCAGUCCAGGAUCAGUCUGUGUGACUAACAUAGCAGAGGCUUCAGACCAAUUACUGUCACUAGACGAGACAGGAGAAAGGAUCUUCUGCUGACUCUGGCUAGCCGCCUCCACAAGAGGCCACAUUCUGCAUGAGCCCCAGGUGAGAAUUCCUUCACCUGAACAUCGCACAUGUUGGUGAGCUGCCUCCAGCCGAUUCUUCAUGUUUCACAGCCUGGCUUUACUUGGCAGGCUCCUGAAUGGAGCAGUGAGCAUUCUUUCUCCCUUAGGGCCCUCUACUGUGAGUGGAGCUAGGGGAGAAUCCUAGGGGCUGCUCCUGACUGACCACCUCCUCCUUCUCACCCCCACCCUACUCACUGGCUCUUGUCACCAUGUCAGUCUGGUCAUUGCCAGACUUGCUGGCCAUGGGCACCUGCAGGCCUCCCUGGCCCUGCCUGUCUCUGGAAGAGGAGAUGAUUCCGCAUACCCCUGGAACCUCCACUUCAAGCCCAGGCCACCUUUUCCCGUGCAUGCUGCAUUUUCUUCAGUGGUAAUAAUCACAGGCCAGGGCAGGCUGGAGCUGCGGGUGGCAGGCACAGAGCUUGCCCUCCCAGCUGCACAUCUCCCUUCCUCCUGAAUUGUACAUAAGAAUUUUGGAACAUCCCUUCAUCUUUGAAAUAAGAGUGCCUCCCUUGCUCACCCUCACCUUGUCAGCAGGAAAUAGUUGCCAGACAGCAGAGCCUGGGGCUCUUUAUUGCCCCUCUACUAAGCAGAAGGAAGCACUACCACGUCCUUCUAGUGGCUGGAGAUGGCUGACUCACAUAGUCCAGUAAGCAUAGAGCAGGGCGAAGACAGUGAAGAUGGCCACCGAGAGGAGCGUGUUCUUCCGGUUCUCAUGUCGAAGCAGCUUUAGCUCUUUCUCUGGGAGGAAAAAGAUGGAAACGAAACAGAACACUGGGGCUCACCUAGCUGCUUCUGCUUCUCAGAAUGGACAUUCUGAUGAAAAGAGGCGUCUCCUUCCAGGCACUGUCGCAUCCCAAAACCCGGCCCUGUCUUUCAUCUGCCCAGACCCUCAUAAUCCUAAGUUAGACUUAGACAUAAGGGCAGGCCUGACUUGCUCAACCACUCCUCUGUGAGUACAGUACGGUAUGUGUGAGGCUCUACCGUGCUCAUCCUUCAGGACAGCUGGGCCUCCUCGGGCUCACACUGCUCCUGAAUUCAGCUGCUCCAUUGGGUACAGGUUCUACCUUGCAAAGGCUAAACUGAUGUCCUGGCCACCACCUCUAGCUGUGCACUGGACUAAGAGGAGAACUGGCAGCCGGCUUUGGGCUGAGUAGAGGUGGGAUGGGACACAUCUGAAGAGCUCUCUGCAGACCACAGUUCUAGCCUCAGGGCAGAGGGUGCUGGGCUCUGCCUGGCUCUGCUUCCAGCACCCCAGAAGGUGGCAGCAUCGCUCCACCCACAGAAUGCCUUUCCUGCCCCGAGUAAGGACCAUCCUCUACCACACCCAGUCUAGGUUGUUCUGGUGGGGUGGGACAUGAGAUGCAGAAACCAGUGUCUGUAGAUGUGGGCCUUUUUCCUGAACAUGGCCCAGAUACCCCAAAGAAUACAGACCCCUUGUUACUGUUUCACUGCUUCCUCCUUUGGACAAAAGAAAAAAAAAAGAACCAUUUUCUUCCCAGGUGCCAGGACCAGGCUGGUGACAGGAGGGAACUUUCUUACCAUACUUGGAGGCUUUGUUCAUGAGGGUGUGUUUCUCCUUCUCCAGAGACCUCCUGUGGGGAAGGAGUUUACAGCUCAAGCCCUUUUUUUUUUUCUGUCUAAACCAGAGAAACAGUAAUAAUUCUUGUCUGUUUGAAUAAGGAAGUAAAAAACUUAGGGCACAGGAGUUGAAACUCUAAAGUUAGGGACCAUUCUGCCUUGGCUUAGAGGGUCAUUACCUGUCCUCAGGACUGAGCUCUGCCCUGUAAAGCUGGGAGGUCACGGCCUCCAGGUCCUUCCGACACCGGGACAGCUUUUCCUCUAGCCCGUCAAUCUGAAAUAGACAGAGGCACUGAGCUUUCCUGACACUGGCACCUCAGAGGGACUCACCUUUAGGGCCCCCACCCUGCCCAUGCACCCCAUGUCUGUACUGGACAGGGCACAGGUUGAGGGUGAAGCAGAACCCCAGGUUAGCUGUGUCUUGUAGGAACAGGGCACCAGUUGUUUCCACCAGAGCCUGGUACCCUGUAGCACUCCCCCUGUGGUGUGUACUCAAGGGAAAAAGCACUGCAGAGCCAGUCCCAGGUCCUGAGCACUCCUCGUGGCGUGGGAGGGGUUAAGUGUCAAGGGUUCUUCCUUGUAGAUAUCCUAACAGUGCAGUUUGUGUUGUCACAAGAGACAUUUUUCUGAGAAUCAAUAAAAAUUGGCGAAACAAUGCAACUUAAAACCA
rnacentral:lncRNA from 1 species